UAAUAAGUGUUUUAUGGCACUUUUUAAAUCCAUAUCCACCUUGUGUGCAAUGUCAGUCGAUCUUCUUUUCAUGGAGAUCGACCAAACAUCAACCUUUAUCUUUUAACUCUUGUCUGAAAAAUAUUAUGAAUAAACAAUUCAAAUA
rnacentral:misc_RNA from 1 species